rnacentral:rRNA from 1 species
GACGAACGCUGGCGGCGUGCUUAACACAUGCAAGUCGAACGGAAAGGCCCCCAUCUUGGUGGGGGUGCUCGAGUGGCGAACGGGUGAGUAACACGUGGGUGAUCUGCCCUGUACUUCGGGAUAAGCUUGGGAAACUGGGUCUAAUACCGGAUAGGACCCUGGUUUAGUUUCUCAUGGUGGAAAGAUUAUUGUUUUGGUGCAGGAUGAGCUCGCGGCCUAUCAGCUUGUUGGUGGGGUAAUGGCCUACCAAGGCGUCGACGGGUAGCCGGCCUGAGAGGGUGGACGGCCACAUUGGGACUGAGAUACGGCCCAGACUCCUACGGGAGGCAGCAGUGGGGAAUAUUGCACAAUGGGCGCAAGCCUGAUGCAGCGACGCCGCGUGGGGGAUGACGGCCUUCGGGUUGUAAACUCCUUUCGUUAGGGACGAAGCCGCACUUUUUUUGGGUGUGGUGACGGUACCUUUGUUAAGAAGCACCGGCUAACUACGUG